CCGGUCGCCGCCGCUGCUGUCACCCAGCACUGCAUUUGUGUGUUUCUUCCGCUUACGUCCACGUUUUGUUAGGAACUUGGGAUCAUCGCCCAUCUAAACUUUUCCAGCUGAAAGACCUCUGAAACAGCUUUAAAAUCACGGUGCAGUGCUUCACGUAUGCUUCUGAAUCUGCUUUUUUCCUGCCUUUCAUCACAGCAGGGCUACGGCCAACUUCCCACCGCUUUACUGGCGUGCUCUGGCACCCAGCAGCUCUGAGGAGCUGGGUGUUCACACUAUCACGCGUAGGAGAAACACCCAAGACUAGGAGAGGGCAGAGCAGCUCCAUUUCCAGGCCAGAACAUGCAGCAUCACUCCACAAGUCGCACGAAUGCUGUUCCCGAAACCUUAAUUUGACGAAGGGGAACAGCACUUCAGGCUGGCAUUCCACAGGUGCAGUUGAUGGUUGCGCAGUAUGCCUGAUGCAGAGAUUAAAAAGGCAAACAGUGUUAUUCAUGAAGGUGCUGGACUUUGGAAGGAGGCACCGAAAGAGCCUAUUCCAUUGACAGCAGAUACAAAACUGCAUUCAGACGUUUUAUUGAAAAAGCUUGCUUGUAGCGAUAGUUAAUAAUUAACAUGCAUGUGCAUACUGUAGUCUUCAAGUGAACAUUGCAGUCUAGAAGUCCCAAACCGCAAACCCCGGGGGGGGGGGGGGGGGGGGGAGAAUACCAAAAGCACUAAAUCAGUAACUUGACAUUUUCUGUCAGCCACAGACAGACCCAGCAAUCAGUAUGAAAUACAGUAUUGCAUUCAAACAGAAUCAAGGCGUGAUGAGUGGUAAUUUAGCUACACUUCCAGGUAUGUGUCAAGAUUAUUUGGUUUACACUGUGCUGGGUGUCAGUUUCCUUAAUUAAUGUUUUAAAACUUCGUCUGUUCUUUAAAUGUUUUCCUUUUCCUGAAGCUACUUUUGUAACAGUGACCUUAUGAUGCUUGGUCAAUGGUUUUAAAAUGUUGUAAAGAGGAGUAAUACUAUUGACUUAUUUCAUGUAUUCCUAUUUUUUUUCAGUAGAACAGUAGAGAACAUUGAUGGCUAGCAGAAGAGCCUACAUCUGGAAACUGACAACGCUUACAAAAUUACUUAUUGUAAUACUGCUCACUUAGCAUUAUUACCAUGACACAAUUUUUAAAACAAUUCAGCAAAUUAGAGAGCAGCAACAUUAUAUGGCUUGUUUUAAACAUCUAUUGUUUCCUUAUCUGAACUUAUCUUCCUUCAACCUGAACUCCAAAGUACAUUUGUCAUUAAUAAUUGUUUAAAAAAC